AACGAACGCUGGCGGCGUGCCUAACACAUGCAAGUCGAACGAGGGUAGUAAUACUCUAGUGGCGGACGGGUGAGUACACCAUAGGUGAUCUGCCCUUCAGUGGGGGAUACCCAGUCGAAAGAUUGGCUAAUACCGCAUACGUUCCUCGGGUUAAAGACCGGGGAGGAAAGAUUCAUCGCUGAAGGAUGAGCCUGUGUCCGAUUAGCUAGUUGGUGGGGUAAUGGCCCACCAAGGCGACGANCGGUAGCUGGUCUGAGAGGACGAUCAGCCACACUGGGACUGAGACACGGCCCAGACUCCUACGGGAGGCAGCAGUGGGGAAUAUUGGACAAUGGGCGCAAGCCUGAUCCAGCAAUUCCGCGUGGGUGAAGAA
rnacentral:rRNA from 1 species